rnacentral:rRNA from 1 species
UGGGGAAUUUUGCACAAUGGGGGAAACCCUGAUGCAGCGACGCCGCGUGAUUUAGAAGGCCUUCGGGUUGUAAAAAUCUUUUCUAUGGGAAGAAAAUGACAGUACCAUAGGAAUAAGGACCGGCUAAUUACGUGCCAGCAGCCGCGGUAAUACGUAAGGUCCGAGCGUUGUCCGGAAUCAUUGGGCGUAAAGGGUACGUAGGCGGGUAAGCAAGUUAGAAGUGAAAUCCUAUAGCUCAACUAUAGUAAGCUUUUAAAACUGCUCAUCUUGAGGUAUGGAAGGGAAAGUGGAAUUCCUAGCGUAGCGGUGAAAUGCGCAGAUAUUAGGAGGAAUACCGGUGGCGAAGGCGACUUUCUGGCCAUAACCUGACGCUGAGGUACGAAAGCGUGGGUAGCAAACAGG